AAUGAACGCUGGCGGCAGGCCUAACACAUGCAAGUCGAGCGAGCGGCGGACGGGUGAGUAAUGCAUGGGGACUGCCCGACAGAGGGGGAUAACGACUGGAAACGGUAGCUAAUUCCGGAUCACAACGGAAAACCCAUAGGGGAUUAGCAAUUAGGUGAGGGAAUGGCUCACCGAGGCGACGAUCCCUAGCAGGUCUGCGAGGAGGAUCAGCCACACUGGGACGGAUACACGGCCCAGACUCCUAGGGAUGCCGCGGUGGGGAAUAUUGCGCGAUGGGCGCAAGCCUGAUGCAGCCAUGCCGCGUGUAGGAAGGAGGCCCUAGGGUUGUAGAGUUGUUUCAGUCGUGGGGCGUUACCGACAGAAGAAGCACCGGCUAACUCCGUGCCAGCAGCCGCGGUAAUAC
rnacentral:rRNA from 1 species